UCUAACACCACGGUCUCCAGGUGCUCGGCACAUAACCAAUAUUCACCCAGAGGCCACAGCACUAUCGUUGCCGUUUGACUGUAACACCAGUGUUGCGCUAGUGUAUAAUAUGUUAUAUACGUUAUGUUAUUCUAGGGAAAUUGUAUUUUCAUAGCUAGGGCUGACAGUGAAGACCUGCGAAGAGCAGAAUCACAACCUCUGCAUCAUCAAAACAGUUGCUUGGUGAGAAGCUGAGAAGUCCACAGAUAGUCAUUGUUAUGUAAACACCAGCUGAAAAGUACCAGCGGCCUGGCUUUGGCCCCAAGUGAGAGCAGGUCCACCAGAGCCAUGGCCCAGUGAGACACGGGUUCGGGCCCGCGUAGUUGGAAACAGAAAAGUCUGAGCCUUUUGGGUCAAACACUGGGGUAAAUCUUGAAUGUACAUGCGCCAUUGACGUACCACUGAAUACGCUUGUAAGUAGAACCUGUCAUACUAGCUCUUAUUACCUGGUGGUAAUUCAACUCUUGUCGCAUAUAAGAAAUAUCGGCAUUACUAAACCUCCUGCAGAGGCAAUGUGUAACUCAGCUACUAAACUAUUGGAAUUAACUUGACAGACAGUAAGCCAUAAUGUACAAUAAAGUAUGGGAGCUCUUCCUAAUGAUCCCUGAUAACAGCUACAUUAAGAACAGUACCUGAGUCAUCGUUAGCAUUCGGUUAGCAUUCCGCUAGCCUGGUGGAGAUCGAAACAGAACCGCAGAGCUCCAGAGAGGCCAGUCUCCACUGUUCUCCUGCCUGCACAGCUGACUUCAACUCUGGGCACUGGGAGAAAAGCAGCAGGGGGCGGGUGGGGGUGGCGUGGUGUGGCGUGGGCCUCUGACAGGGGUUCUCAGACUGUGUGUUUGUGUCAAAUCCAAUCAAAUUGGAUUGGUCGUGUACACAAAUAGGCCGAUAUAAUCGGCGGUGCAGCAAAGUGUUUGUGUUUCUAGUUCCAACAGUGCAGUGUAUGUGCGUGCGUGGUGUGUGUCUUUUACCCUCAACAGCAUAGACACACUUUUCCCCCAUUGCAAACACUCUUUCAAUCACACUUUCUCUCAACCAAAUGUACCAGUUGUCCCCUCUUAACAAAUGAAGCAGUUACACAGUACUAGAGUGCGCUGUCAUCAAGGCAUCCUGUACCACAACACAACACUGCAAUACACACUUAACUCUUCUGGCUCCUCUCGCUUCCUUUUCUUUCACAACCUGGUCUUCAACCGCCUUCAUUUCCUUUAUUUCUGCCUCCAACAACCCUUUCUUCAAACAAAACCUCCCUCGUCCUUCAUUUUCUCCUUGGAGAAUGUGAGAAUUGAGUGCUCUCUGCUAUGUUCAGCUUUCUUUUAUGUCAUUCAAACAGGAAAGUCCUGUUGCUCAUUGACUAAGUGGAACAGGUCCUGCCUGUGUGUCUACUCACAUUUCAUUUCAUCCUCAUUCAACUCCUUUCAUUUGAAUCCUCUCGUUCAGGACAAGGAACAUUUUCAAUAUGCUGUUUACACACUUUCUUUUUGUCUUAGAAUAAGGAAGACUUGAGACUCGGAAGUGGUUCCUUACAAAAUGACUCAUCACAUUAUGAAAUGUGUGUAUGUGUGUGCACACACACACACACACACACGCACACGCACACAAACACACGUGUGAAGUACUCGAUCAGAGAAGUGUCAGCCUGGCAGCUUCACUAUACUACUAGAGAUGUCUGGAACAACAGCAAACAAACUAUGCCAUACCAGCUACUAGCAGUGAAUAGCACAACUCCAGCGGGCUGAAUUGGGUGCAAAUGAUCUCCUUACAACCAGAUGAUGUCAUUGUAUCGGUGUCGUUUAUUUCCCCCAGUGUAUUUAUCAUUUAUUAUUUAUGCCUGCCUUGACCUCGAGCCUGCCUGCCUUGACCUCGAGCCUGCCUGCCUUGACCUCGAGCCUGCCUGCCGCCCUUUGGUACCUACUGGACUCUGAACUGGUUUUGACCUUUUGCCUGUACACAACCAUUCUCUUGCCUACCCCUUUUUGGAUUAAUAAACAUCUAAGACUCCAACCAUCUGCAUCUGGGUCUCGCCUUGUGCCCUCAUAGUAUGUGAAUUUGUCGGGUUGGCCCACAAAGCUACGUACCAGACCUUUAUUAAAGAGCGUCUGAACGCAGCGAUUCUGUGUUUCUCUACUACUCAUUAAGAAAAACUAGACUUCAGUCUUGAGGGUGUGGUUCGAUGUGGCAGUUACUGAUGUUUGUCCCCCAUGAGACCAUAGGAAGAAAGCCGGUAUUACCUCCUCAAAGUAGUCAGAAGUCAUUUAAGAUUUUCAAAAAAAUGUAUUGUGUAAUUUUACAUCCGGCUAAGUUGUUUGGUGCAGUAUUUUUUAAGUAAAAAAAAAGGUGUUGUCUUGUGUAAACAAAGUCAGAUUUGCUGCUCUGAUGGGCAGGUCUGCCUCACUGCAGUAGGUGUGUGUGAUCUGCGGUAGGAUUGGAUAGAUGUCUAUCUCGUGUCAAUGGUCAAAUGAGCAUCGUUGAAAUCCAAACCCAACCCUCAAGUAAGUCAUAUGAUGAACUCUAUUACAAAACUCAGGUUUGGACGAGACCGACUUGAAAAACCAAAUGAUCCUAUUUACACUUCGUAGUCCAUUUUGAAACUAGAAAAAAUGUUUCCGACUAGCAUGGAUGGCGCAUAGGCCGUUUGCUAUGAGAGAAGUUGUUUAUUGCCUUUAAAAACCCAGUCAGUAUCAUCACACUAUGGAAAUGACUGAUCAAGGGAUUGACUAUGAAUAAUCCCAAAUCAAAUCAAAUCGUAUUUGUUACGAACACAAUUGACAGCAGGUAUAAAAGGUGCAGCAAAAUGCUUGUGUUCUGGGUCCCUCAACAGUGCAGUAUAUUAAUCAAUAGUUGAGGUACUAUGCAUAGUAAUAGCCUCAUCAUGUAUGUACACUAUAGGAUACAGUAUAGAUAAUGAUUUAACUCCCCAUCUCUGUGUCAUACUGAUUCCCCCUCUCUGACUUCACUCUUUAUUUCUCUCUUUCUAUUUCUCCGUAUGCUACACUUUCUAUUCCUUAACUCCCUCUUUCCUCUUCUCUCCCACUUCCGUGUUAAUCAAAUCAAAUCAAAUCAAAUUUAUUUAUAUAGCCCUUCGUACAUCAGCUGAUAUCUCAAAGUGCUGUACAGAAACCCAGCCUAAAACCCCAAACAGCAAACAAUGCAGGUGUAAAAGCACGGUGGCUAGGAAAAACUCCCUAGAAAGGCCAAAACCUAGGAAGAAACCUAGAGAGGAACCAGGCUAUGUGGGGUGGCCAGUCCUCUUCUGGCUGUGCCGGGUAGAGAUUAUAACAGAACAUGACCAAGAUGUUCAAAUGUUCAUAAAUGACCAGCAUGGUCGAAUAAUAAUAAGGCAGAACAGUUGAAACUGGAGCAGCAGCACAGUCAGGUGGACUGGGGACAGCAAGGAGUCAUCAUGUCAGGUAGUCCUGGGGCACGGUCCUAGGGCUCAGGUCCUCCGAGAGAGAGAGAAAGAAAGAGAGAAUUAGAGAGAGCAUAUGUGGGGUGGCCAGUCCUCUUCUGGCUGUGCCGGGUGGAGAUUAUAACAGAACGUGGCCAAGAUGUUCAAAUGUUCAUAAAUGACCAGCAUGGUUGAAUAAUAAUCUCUCGCCCUUCUCCUUGCAGACUAGAUAAGGGGGGCCAGCCUGCUUCAAGGUGACGCAACAAAAAUCCAAUGAACUUAUCCUCUGCAGCAGAGGUGACUACCUCGUGAAGCUGGUUGAGAGAAUGCAAAGCUGUCAAAGGGUGGCUACUUUGAAGAAUCUCAAAUAUAAAAUAUGUUUUGAUUUGAUGAACACUUUAUUGGUUACUACAUGAUUCCAUAUGUGUUAUUCCAUAGUUUUGAUGUCUUUUUUAUGUCAAUUUUAUUCUACAAUGUAGAAAAUAGUACAAAUAAAGAAAAACCCUGGAAUGAGUAGGUGUGUCAAAACAUUUGACUGGUACUGUCUAUAUUUGUCACGCCCUGACCUUAGGGCGUUAGGUCAGGGUUUGAUGUGGGGUGGGCAUUCUAUGUUUCGUUUUCUAUGUUUCUUUAUUUCUAUGUUUUGGCCGGGUAUGGUUCUCAAUCAGGGACAGCUGUCUAUCGUAGUCUCUGAUUGGGAAUCAUACUUAGGUAGCCCUUUUUCCCUCCUUUCAGUGUGGGUAGUUAACUUUGUUUGUGACACUUAGCCCUGAAAGCUUCACGGUUGUUUUUCGUUUGUUGUUUUGUUGGCGUCAUUUUUAUAAUAAAAGGAAAAUUA